GCUCCCGUAGCUCAGUAGGUUAGAGCGUUGGUCUUAUGAGACAAAGGUCGCGGGUUCGAGCCCCGCCGGGAGCA